CAUUCACAAACGAGUGUUUUAUGGCACUCUUUAAAAAUCCAUAUCCACCUUGUGUGCAAUGUUUGUUGGGAAAGUCUUUUCUUUCCCUUCAUAAAUAUCAACCUAUAUCUUUAACAACAUUCGUCUGAUAACAUAUUAUGAAUAUACUUAAUUCAAAAUAUAACUUUCAACAACGGAUCUCUUGGCUCUCGCAUCGAUGAAGAACGCAGCGAAAUGCGAUACGUAAUGUGAAUUGCAGAAUUCAGUGAAUCAUCGAAUCUUUGAACGCAUAUUGCGCUCUUUGGUAUUCCGAAGAGCAUGCUUGUUUGAGUAUCAGUAAACACCUCAACCUCUCUUUUUGACAAAAAAAGGAGGGUGGACUUGAGCUAUCCCAACGACCUUCACCGGUAGGCGGGCGGCUUGAAAUGCAGGUGCAGCUGGACUUUUAUCUGAGCUAAAAGCAUAUCUAUUUAGUCCUCGUCAAACAGGAUUAUUACUUUUGCUGCAGCUAACAUAAAGGAUAAUUGUCCUCUUUGCUGACUGAUGCAGGAUUUUACGACACUUUAUGUGUUGUUCAACUCGAUCUCAAAUCAAGUAAGACUACCCGCUGAACUUAAGCAUAUCAAUAAGCCGGAGGAA
rnacentral:rRNA from 1 species